rnacentral:lncRNA from 10 species
GGAAGAAGGCAAGGGCUUGGAAAGGCUCAGUGAUGUAGCUGAGGCCCCAGAUUCCUUUUAUCUUUUUGUCCAAAGGCUCCACCUUCCUGAAUAUUACUGCUUUAUACCCUUGGAGACUCAUGGUCACAGGAUGGCUGUUAUAGCUCCAGCCAUCAUGACCAAGUUCAGACUCCAGGAGCAAGAUGGAGGAAGCUAUGUCAAGGGGGCUUUUCUUGAUGUGUCUCUCAUCUUUAACCAGUGAAGAAAAUCUUCUUAGUAGGACACAGCAGACUUCUCCUUAUGUCUCAUUAUCCAAAAGUGGACCACAGGACAGUCCCUACUGUAAACUCUUUCAAAUAUCAGGCAAAAAGGAACAAAAGGCCCCAGCCUGGCUUAAACCAACCAUGAGUCAUCACCUGACACUGGACAUUUUGUUUCUCCGGGCAAAAUCAGGAUUUUCUGUUAGCAAGCAAAGGAACUGCUCCUGGGUAAGAAAUUAACAGUGUGUGCCAUAAUUCAUAUUUGCCACCAAGCAUCUCCUCAGGCUGACGCUGUGCCAAACAAGGGAUUAUAGAGAUGAAGACGCAGCUUCCAUCCCCGAAAUCUCACAGUCCAUUCUCUCAGGGCAAUCCCGGUAACCUCCUCAUCACAAUUAUCCAUCCAGACCAUGGAAGUCCCUUUACUCCCCAAACAGGAACGAGUGGCAGGAAAAAGUGACCUCAUCAAGCUGACUUGAGUUUUUCCAAAAGCAAAUAAAUAAAUAAAUAACUUUUUAACCUGCACAGCCAAAUAUCAAAUAAAUACAUGUAUGUUUUUGCAGGAGUUGGGGGGUGUGUUUUUGGUUGUUGUUUUUUUUUUUUUUUUUUUUUCCGGAGCUUCCUGUCGUAUUGAAACUAUCUCCCACUUCCUCCUUUUUGUCUCAAAAGAUCUUAAGCAUUGGGCCAGACACAGUGGCUCCUGCCUGUAAUCCCAGUACUUUGGGAGGCCGAGGUAGGCAGAUUACUUUAGCCCAGGAGUUCGAGACGAGUUUGGGCAACGUAACGAUAGCCCAUCUCUAAAAAAAAGAAUACAAAAAUUAGCCAGGCAUAGAGGCGAAUGCAUGUAGUCCUAGCUACCUGGGAGGCUGAGGUGGGAGGAUCACUUGAGCCCCAGAGGUCGAGGCUGCAGUGAACUGUGAUCAUCACAUCUGGGCAACAGAGCAAGACCCUGUCUAAAAAAAAAAAAAAAUCUAAGCAUCCUUUCUUUUUAGUUCAUUUGAGGAUAAUGAUUGAGCUCCCCUUCUACCAUCACUAGGGAUACAGAGGGGGAGCAAACAGACGUUGUUCCUUCCUCUUGAGGCUCACAGUUAAUUGGUAAAGAGGGACCACUAUUCAGAAAGUCCCACACAUCAUUGUAUGAUCAAAAGCUAUGACAGAUGCAAGGAAGGAAAGCUAGAUGGUGUUGUGAGGCUUCAUGGCAGGGACACUAAACCUGGUCUAGAGGUGAGGGAAGACUUCCCUGAGGCACUGGCUUGAAUGGAGAGCUGAAGGAGGAGUAAGAAUUCACUAGAAGAAAGAAGAGGAAGCAGCAAGUGCAAGGUCCUGCUGCAGCAGGAGGGAGCAUGGCAUGUUCAAGAAACACAAGAAGCCGGCAAUGUGGAUUACAGAGGAAGAGUGCAGCACGAGGGCAGUGGCUUGAGAUGAGGCCAGAGAGGAGGGCAUGCAGGACCAAGGGGACCAAGGCAAGGAUUUUGGUGUCCAUCAAAUUGGAGGGUGCUGAGCAGGGGAGGGGUAACCAUGUAAUUGCCUUUCUCAAAUGCCCCUCUUGCCAUAGCAAGGACAGACUGGUAGAAGCAAGGGAUGAACUGGAGAGAUGAGUGAGGAAGCUGCUCCAGAAGACCCAUCAAGAGAUGAUGGUGACAGAGAAUUGAGUGGUAGGAAUGAUGAUGGGAAGAGAUGAGUGGAAUCCAAGUAUUUGUGGGUAGAAGUGGCAGGUGUGGCUACUGAAGGGAGAUGGGGCUGUAGGGCUGUGAAGGUGUGAGUCCUUUACUUAUCCAUCUUAAGGGUCAUGGCUGACACUCCUAUAGGAAAAGACACAUUAACAAGAGAAAAGCAGAGCAAAUUUAUUUAAUCCAAGUUUUAUGUGACAUGGGAGGCUUCAGAAAUGGCAACCCAAAGGCCGAGGGAAAACUGUUGAUUUUUAUGCAUAGGUUAGAUGAAGAAUGGACAGCCGGAUAGAAAUGUGAUUGAACAAAUGGGUAUGACCUACUGGGAACAGACUAAAAGGGGACCCAGCAAAACUGUCUGCUCAGAUUUUUCUCAGCCUCUCUGUGUAGGCUUCCUUCCUCCCAGGUAUGGGGCAGGACCCCUACUGAAAUGAGAGUUUUCAAAGGAGAAGGAGAAGAUGAGAGUGACCUUUCUAGGUUUUAUGGUUUGCUUUAGCAGGAGGGUUUCUAGGUUCUAUGACCCAUCUUGAGGAAGAUAAAUUCUGGUUUCUGUGACUCACUUUGGAGGAUGAAGGCAAGCAGAAGAGAGGGUGUGAGGAGAAGGUUGGAAAGACCUGGCUUCUGAGUUCCUUCCAAUGUCCUUCAGUUCAAAAUACUCAGGCUGAGGCACCAUGCUUUGGGGUGUCAUGUUCUGAGCCCCAACAGCAUAACGGCAGCAUCAAGACAACCUUUGCAGCCCGGCUUGCAUAAUGGACAGACACUGGUGCAAUCCAUGGGGUUGGAAAUGUGGAGGGAUAACUGGCUGGUGAUGCCGGGAGCCUUGAGUUCAGUGUUGGACACAUUGAGUGUAAAGUGCCUUUGAGACACCCAAGUAGGCUGUUGGAAAUAACCAGCCUGGAGCUGAGAGGUCAGGUUGAAAAGCAGUGUCCGGAUGGCAGGUGGGCCCUUGGCCAUGAAUUAGACCACCAAGGAGAGCCAAGUGAGAAGUCAAGAGGACCUAGUAGGGCCCCUGAAAACUCCAAAUGGCCAAGAAUAGGCAAAGAGCUACAAACAAUCCUGAGAGGGGGCCGAGGGCAGAGACACCUGGAGGGAAUGUUCAUCGAAGUCACACCCUUCCCCUGCAUCCGCCCCUCACUCUGCAGAUGGGAGCUCAAGAAGCCAAGGGGCUUGCUCUGUAACCAGGUCACCCGGCUUCAUCCUGGGCAAACUGAGAUCACAGUCCCCGACUCUCAUUUGCCCUCUUCUCUGCUUUUGGGAUUUUUUUUUUUCUUUUAUACUCUUUUUUGUUUUUUUCUGGGUACAUAGUAGGUGCAUAUAUAUGUGAGGUACAUGAGAUGUUUUGAUACAGACAUGCACUGUGAAAUAAGCACAUCAUGGAGAAUGGGGUGUCCAUCCCUGAAGGAUUUAUCCUUUCUUUUUUUUUUUGAGACGGAGUCUAGCUCUGUCGCCCAGGCUGGAGUGCAAUGGCAUAAUCUCUGCAUCUCUGCUCACUGCAAGCUCCGCCCCCCGGGUUCAUGACAUUCUCCUGCCUCAGCCUCCCGAGCAGCAUUUUUUGUAUUUUCAGUACAGAUGGGGUUUCACAGUGUUCACCAGGAUGCUCUCGAUCUCCUGACCUCAUGAUCCACCCGCCUCGGCCUCCCAAAGUGCUGGGAUUACAGGCAUGAGCCACCGCACCCAGCGCAUUUAUCCUUUCUAAUACGAACAAUCCAAUUACACUCUUUUAGUUAUUUGUAAAUGUACUAUUAAGUUAUUAUUGACUACAGUCAUCCUGCUGUGUGAUCAAACAGUACAUCUUAUUCAUUCUUUCUAACAUCAUCCCCACCUGCCCUCAGCCCCCCACUCCUCUUCCCAGCCUCUGGUAACCACCCUUCUACUCUCUAGCUCCAUGAGUUCAACUGUUUUGAUUUUUAGAUCCCACAAAUCAGUGAGAACAUGCAAUGUGUGUCUUUCUGUGUCUGGCUUGUUUCACUUAACAUAAUGACCUCCCAUUCCAUCCAUGCCAUUUUCUGCUUUUGUACAAGGCACAAAAAGCAGGGCAAUGGGACUCAAUGGAUUUUCCACGCUGCUCUAACACACUACUGCAAACCUGGUGGCUUCAAAGAAUGCCGAUGUAUUCUCUCAUAGUUCUGGAGGUCACAAAUCCAAAACGAGUCUUCCUGGACUAAAAUUGAAGUGUUGCUAGGGCCCUUGGUAGAAACCCUAGAGGAGAAUCCAUUCCUUGCCUCUUUGGUGGCUGCUGGCAUUGUGAAUUGUGGCCACAUCACUCCAAUCUCUGCCUCCACUGUCACAUCACCUUCUCUUCUGUAGUCAAAUCUCCUCAGCCUCCCUCUUCACUUAUAAGGACAUUUUGUGAUUACAUUGCGUAUCCAUACAGAUAACCCAUGAUAGAAUCCCCAUUGCAAAUCUUUGAAGUAAUCUCAUCCACAGAGUCUCUUCUGCCAACAUCCCGUUCACUAGUUCUGGAGGUUAGGACAUGGACAUCUUUGGGGGUUAUCAUUCCCCCUUUCACAGGCUAUUUGGGCUGUAUACAAACCAGAGAUCCGAGAAUCAUCUUGGCGGCCUCACUCUGUAAGCAGGGAAACGUCUGUCUGUGCUCAGCAGCAAUCCCUGGAGGCAGAGACUGGAAAUUACACCUGCAACCGUAGUAAGAGCUUGCCAUGGGCUGGCAUGGGUGCCAUACCUGGAGCUGUACAUGCAUCCCCCACGAUUCUCUCAGUGGCCCUUUGAGGUCGCUCUCUUACUGCCACCAAGGUGCAGGGUGGUGAAGGCAACUCAGAGCAGAGACCUGGCCUCGAAGCCUCGUCUCCCUGGAGAAUGACCAAUCAUCAAGAAUCUGUGAACACAAGCACGAGAGGCAAUCUGAGCCCUUCCCCAAAGCCUCACUGUCCAUUCACUCUGGCUGGAAUCCUGCCCUACCUUCAGGGCCCAGCUUAGGGACAAGGAGCAACCACAUCCUACCUCUGAGGACACAGCCCUCACGUAUUUCUGCAAUCCGUCUGCAGCUGAUGGUCUGAAUGAGCAUCGUGUCAUCAUAGCACUUGUAAAUUGUUGGAGGGGCUCCUCCACACUGAGGGAAUGUGCUUGUUCAGGGAAGGGCACACUCCCCCAUUUCUCCCCGAACCACACUUCUGCCAUGGGACCCUGCGGACACAAGGGCCCUCCCCUUGCCCUGUUGCUUCAUGUGGCUUAGUCUUGCUUAACAAACGUGCUAGGUGUGGAGGCUGAGGCCUGCGUGUAGUGUUGAGGGCAAGCAGGGACCACCUGGAAAUGCUGAAAGCAUUCUGUUAAAGUGGUGCCUUCCCAUCAUGAUUGCUAGGCCCAUGAUGAGAAGAAAUUGCAGGAAAGCACAACCUGGACCAUAGAAAGGACAGAUCAGUGGGUGGGGCUUUAUGUGCUUAUCCCUCCCACCACCCUGCUGCAGACCCCGCCCACACUCAAGCUUAGCCCCUGUGGCUUAGAACCCAAGGGCACUUCUGAGCUGAGGCCGACUUCAGGGAAUACUAGUUAGGACAGGUCAGCUGCAAGUAACAAACAAACAAACAAAAUACACAGGAAACUCUGACCCUCAGGGCCAAAUCCAGCCCACCACCUAUUUUUAUAAAUAAAGUUUUAUUGGACCAUAGGUGUACCCAUUCAUUUACACAUUGUCUAUGGUUGUUUUUAGGGUCGUAGUGUCCACAGAGAUCUCAUGGCACACCCAGAGCCUAAAAUGUUUUCCACGUGGCCCUUUAUGGAAAAAGUUCACCCACCCCUGGCUUGAACAAUGACAACAUUGAAUUAUCUGCCAUCACAAGAACUCCAGAGGAAGGCGGCUCCAGGGGCACACGGAGGCUCAGCAACAUCCUUGAGGCCCCAGGCUCCUGUUCCCUCCUCGGCAGUUUCACGACAUUAAGUACAUUCACAUUGUUUAGCAACCAUCACCGCCAUCAUCUCCGGAACAGAUUUAUCUUUGAAAAUGGAAAUUGCACCCAUUCAGCAAGCUCUCCACUCCUCUCUCUCACCCACCCCUGGGGGCCACCUUUAUAUUUUGCAACUCUGUAAGUUUAACUACUCUAGACACUUGAUAGAUAAGUGGAAUCAUACCGU